rnacentral:lncRNA from 1 species
CUUGAAUAUUAUUAUAGAUAGAGAUAAACUGUAAACAGCAAUAAUGUUCAGCAAAGUAAGAUGUACAAAUAAGUCAACAUGACUGAAAUGGUCAGUUGAUCCCUUCAGGAGUUAUUGCCCUUUAUAGUCAAUUUUGAACCAUUUUUCGUAAAUCUUAGUUAUCUUUUACAAAAAUCUUCUCCUCUGAAACUGCUGGGCCAAGUUCAUUAUAGAUAGAGAUAAUUGUAAGCAGCAAGAAUGUUCAGUAAAGUAAGAUUUACAAACACAUCACCAUCACCAAAACACA